CACUAGCUCGCUGGUGGCAGGGGCUGCGUCAGCGCGCGGUAUCGUUGCCCAGCACCCCACUCCCUCUCUGUGGGGGCGCCACGAAGUCCCUAUCCCCUGCCAGUGCGGAAGCGCUUCUGUUGGUGGCAGGGCCAGGUGCCUACGACGUGGCGGUGUCGGAGCGAUGCAUCGCUACUGAUGCCGGCAGUCGGGCCCUGGGCGGCGUUGCGUCGGUGCGACCUGCGACAGUCGGCACGUAUGUGCCGUCGAUGUGGCAGGCAAAGCGCCAAUGCGGCUCGAGCGUAUCCCACCCGGCCCUCACACGGCCCACCUGGUGGGAAGCCUGAGCUGUCCCAAGCCGUGCGCCAGGUGGCGGCCGGCACAAUGGGGGCUGCUGUGAGGCGGCCUGGGAGGUGUGGGGUCGGUAGAUUGUGAGGCAGGGGCCGUGCUCUCAGACGGCUGCGGCGGCAUUGCUUUCACGCCCGUGUCAAGCCACUGCCUCGCGCCGGGCGAUCGGGCCUGUGGCAGGCCUGGUAGAGUGGCCCUAUGUACUACGGCAGAAUGGACAUGCUGCGAGAGAAAACAUCACUAAGCCACACCGCACGUGCCCCCCCCCUCCCUGAGCGUUGGCAUCGAAGGGCGGAGAGAGGGCCCCGCCCCACCCUCCCCCUCCUGUCUCGCAUCUCCGCCAAGCUCCUCGCCCGCUCACGAUCCGCGCUUUGGUAUGCGCGUGUCGGUGUGUGUGUGUGUGUGUGUGUGCCGCUGCGAUGCAGGUGGGUGCAGGCGUGUUGGAAGGCGCACAGGCACCUCUCCUACCCCCUCUUCUGGCACCGCUGACUGUUCUCCGCCUUUCUUCUGGAUUGCCUGCUGACCGUUUGCGCUCUUUGCUUGGGUGCGACAG
rnacentral:misc_RNA from 1 species